GACGAACGCUGGCGGCGUGCUUAAUACAUGCAAGUCAACUGAAUUUGAGGUAGCAAUAUCUCAAGUAAGGUGGCGCACGGGUGAGUAACACGUAGGUAAUCUGCCUUUAGGACUGACAUAACCUAUCGAAAGGUAGGCUAAUAUCAGAUGAUGCAGCGGCUCGACAUCGAGACAGUUGUUAAACCUUCGGGCCUGAAGAUGAGCCUGCGUCUGAUUAGGUAGUUGGCGGAGUAAAAGCCCACCAAGCCUGCGAUCAGUAGCUGGUCUGAGAGGAUGAUCAGCCACACUGGAACUGAGACACGGUCCAGACUCCUACGGGAGGCAGCAGUAAGGAUAUUGCUCAAUGGCCGAAAGGCUGAAGCAGCAACGCCGCGUGGAGGAU
rnacentral:rRNA from 1 species